GACGAACGCUGGCGGCGUGCUUAACACAUGCAAGUCGAACGGACAGGCCCUGCUCUUGCGGGUUGCUCGUGUGGCGAACGGGUGUGUAACACGUGAGUAAACUCCCCCUGACUUUGGGGUAAAUUCUGGAAACUGGGGCUCAUACCGCAUAGGAGCUCCUGCUGCACGGUGGUGGUUGGAAAGUUUCGGUGGUUGGGGAUGGACUCGCGGCUUAUCCGCUUGUUGGUGUGGUAGUUGCUUACCAAGGCUUUGACGGGUAGCCGGCCUGAGAGGUUGACCGGCCACAAUGGGACUGAGAUACGGCCCAGACGCCUAUGGGAGGCAGCAGUGGGGAAUAUUGCACAAUGGCCGGAAGUCUGAGGCAGCAACGUCGCGUGCGGGAUAACGGGCUUCGGGGUGUAAACCGAUUUCGAAUGUGACGUAGCGUGAGUGACGGUAAUGGGUAAAGAAGCACCGGCUAACUACGUG
rnacentral:rRNA from 1 species